ACAGAGGGUGCAAGCGUUAAUCGGAAUUACUGGGCGUAAAGCGAGCGUAGGUGGCUUGAUAAGUCAGAUGUGAAAUCCCCGGGCUUAACCUGGGAACUGCAUCUGAUACUGUUAGGCUAGAAUAGGUGAGAGGAAGGUAGAAUUCCAGGUGUAGCGGUGAAAUGCGUAGAGAUCUGGAGGAAUACCGAUGGCGAAGGCAGCCUUCUGGCAUCAUAUUGACACUGAGGUUCGAAAGCGUGGGUAGCAAACAGG
rnacentral:rRNA from 1 species